UUUACCCGCUGAAAACUAAGCAUAUCAAUAAGCGGAGGAAAAGAAACUAACAAGGAUUCCCCUAGUAACUGCGAGUGAAGCGGGAAAAGCUCAAAUUUAAAAUCUGGCGGUCUUUGGCCGUCCGAGUUGUAGUCUGGAGAAGCGUCUUCCGCGCUGGACCGUGUACAAGUCUCUUGGAACAGAGCGUCAUAGAGGGUGAGAAUCCCGUCUUUGACACGGACUACCAGUGCUUUGUGAUGCGCUCUCAAAGAGUCGCGUUGUUUGGGAAUGCAGCGCAAAAUGGGAGGUGAAUUCCUUCUAAAGCUAAAUAUUGGCGAGAGACCGAUAGCGAACAAGUACCGUGAGGGAAAGAUGAAAAGCACUUUGGAAAGAGAGUUAAACAGUACGUGAAAUUGCUGAAAGGGAAACGCUUGAAGUCAGUCGCGUCGUCCGGAACUCAGCCUUGCUUCGGCUUGGUGCACUUUCCGGUUGACGGGCCAGCAUCGAUUUUGACCGCUGGAAAAGGGCUGGAGGAAUGUGGCACCUUCGGGUGUGUUAUAGCCUUCAGUCGCAUACAGCGGUUGGGAUCGAGGAACGCAGCGCGCCUUAUGGCUGGGGUUCGCCCACAUUCGCGCUUAGGAUGCUGGCAUAAUGGCUUUAAACGACCCGUCUUGAAACACGGACCAAGGAGUCUAACAUGCCUGCGAGUGUUUGGGUGGAAAACCCGAGCGCGUAAUGAAAGUGAAAGUUGAGACCUCUGUCGUGGAGGGCAUCGACGCCCGGACCUGAAGUUUUCUGACGGAUCCGCGGUAGAGCAUGUAUGUUGGGACCCGAAAGAUGGUGAACUAUGCCUGAAUAGGGUGAAGCCAGAGGAAACUCUGGUGGAGGCUCGUAGCGAUUCUGACGUGCAAAUCGAUCGUCAAAUUUGGGUAUAGGGGCGAAAGACUAAUCGAACCUUUUGCUUA
rnacentral:rRNA from 1 species